rnacentral:lncRNA from 1 species
CCUCUCCGGGGCUGACCCUGGCCUCGCCUGAGCCUGAAGAGUGAGGGUCUCCUUGCAUUUCGUACCCUGGAGACUUCCCUUGCCUCGUCCUCAUCCCAGCCCUGGGCACCGCCUCAGGGUCUCCUCCCAGGGAGCUCAACUCACAACGGUGCCUGGAUGGGGCCAGGUGGACGGCUGGAGCUGUGACAUCGGACGGGCUGGGAGCUUCCCCGCCCCCCCAGAUCCCACAGCCCUGAGGAGCGGCUUCCGGUUUCAGGUCGAGACUGCUGGAAAUGGAAGUAUACAUGGGUCCUACCUAGGAGCUCGUUGCCUCCAGGGCCUUUCACCGAGUGACCUUGGGAGCAGCGACUCAAGUCCUUUCCUCUCGCUGCGCUG